UAAGGUGAUUAUCGCAAUGGGGCUCACCUCUUACCAUUCCGAACAGAGAAGUUAAGCCCAUUAGCGCCGAUGGUACUGCCACUGGUGGGAGAGUAGGUCGUUGCCUUUCUUUUAAACCUCAAUCUUUUAUUAGAUUGAGGUUUUUUUUUGAUCUUAUUUUAAAUUCAAUA
rnacentral:rRNA from 1 species